CAUUUAUCACAUUUACCGACAUACAAGGGAUGUAGGUUAUCUCAUUUAUCACAUUUACCGACAUACAAAGGGUGCAGGUUAUCUCAUUUAUCACAUUUACCGACAUACAAGGGGUGUAGGUUAUCUCAUUUAUCACAUUUACCGACAUACAAGGGGUGUAGGUUAUCUCAUUUAUCACAUUUACCGACAUACAAAGGGUGUAGGUUAUCUCAUUUAUCACAUUUACCGACAUACAAGGGGUGUAGGUUAUCUCAUUUAUCACAUUUACCGACAUACAAGGGGUGUAGGUUAUCUCAUUUAUCACAUUUACCGACAUACAAGGGAUGUAGGUUAUCUCAUUUAUCACAUUUACCGACAUACAAGGGGUGCAGGUUAUCUCAUUUAUCACAUUUACCGACAUACAAGGGGUGCAGGUUAUCUCAUUUAUCACAUAUACCGACAUACA